AAUUCUUUCAAAAUUGCAAAACGGAGCCGACCGCUGCGUUCUCCGCCGGAAAUCGCCAUUUUUUUUUCUCCAUUCGAUUUCUCCCUCAUCCGGCGAGCUUUUGAGGUGAAACAAAGCCCAGACUAGAUCGCCUCCUUCCCACGAACAUCAUGGUGCCCUCAUCUCCUCCCCAGACGGCGGCUUCACGGCGGUAGAGCUCGGCUCUGACUUUUACCCGAAAACGGAUCAACGCCGAUAUCUCAUGUUUCCGGCCACCAUUCUUCGAGUUCUUUGGCUUGUUGAACUCGCCUUGAGUUUCUGAACACACUAUGCGAAGGAUCGGGCCAAGUUGAUGAAGUUUUUACGUUGAACGGAGCAGCUGCCGGUUUCUGGAAAAAUUCCAGCGAACCGUGACUUUCAGGUGAUUGACGGUCUUCCUUGGUGAACGGUUUUGGCGUGUUUUGUGAAAUUGAAGACGCAGCGGGAUUAGAGCUUUCUGAAUGCCGACUCCUAAGGAAGCAGCUCUUGAAAGAGAGAGAGUUAUGGAGGAUCAAGGAGAGGAAAAUAAAAGAACUACAAGAAGAACUCAGAGUUGAAAUAGAAGCGAAUUCGCGUGCGACUUCUGAAUUUGAAGAAAAAAAGAAGACACUCAAGGAGGCCUUGCAGGCCAAGAGGCAGAGUGUGCGUCAGGUCAAGAAGGCAUUGGAUGAAUUUAAUGCUAACCGAGAUCGUGAAUUCGCUUAUAAGGGAGCACAAAUAGCCAAUGCCAGUGGCAGGUUUGAUAGAUUGCAUGCUGAAUUAGGAAAGAAAAUUAAUUGGUCAGAAGCAGAAGCAGAGAGAGAUUAUCUGGACAAGCUACAGUCAGAGAUAGAUGAGAAAUGGGACAAUUUAAUUGCUUUUCUUGAGACUUGUCGGAAAAAUUCAAAAAUCACUGAUGAUGUGAAGCCUUGCCUCCGAGUCCACUAUGAUGCAUACAUUAAAACACUCAAGAGCAUGGGCGGAUCCAAGUAGAAGCUUGGGCGGGCUGGAGCCCGUCCGAGAUUUUUAGGCUUAAAAAAAAAAAUAGAUGUAUACUUUAAUUGAUGUGGGUUUAAAUGUUUAAUUGACGUGGGUAAGUGGGUUUAAAUGAUUUCAAAACUUAUCAAGGUCGAUCAAUGGGUCUUCUUUCUGCUGUGCAAUUGUUGUGGGUUUAAUUGAUUUCAAUACUUAUCAUUUUAUCAAUUGUUGUGCUAUCUCAAUAUCUCGGCCAGGAGGUUGGCCUCA